rnacentral:rRNA from 1 species
CCUACGGGGGGCUGCAGUGGGGAAUAUUGGACAAUGGGGGGAACCCUGAUCCAGCCAUGCCGCGUGUGUGAAGAAGGCCCUCGGGUUGUAAAGCACUUUCAGUGAGGAAGAACGCCUGGUGGUUAAUACCCAUCAGGAAAGACAUCACUCACAGAAGAAGCACCGGCUAACUCCGUGCCAGCAGCCGCGGUAAUACGGAGGGUGCGAGCGUUAAUCGGAAUUACUGGGCGUAAAGCGCGCGUAGGUGGCUUGAUAAGCCGGUUGUGAAAGCCCCGGGCUCAACCUGGGAACGGCAUCCGGACCUGUUGAGGUGGAGGGCAGGAGAGGAAGGUAGCCGUGCGAGUGGAGAGGGGACGCGCGGGGAGAGCGGGAGGAACAGCAGGGGCACAGGGGGGGGUCGGGACGGACAAUGGCACGGUGGUGCGAAGGCGUGGGUAGCAAACCGGCGAUGAUAGCGGGGGGGUC